GUAGGUGCCAGUUGAUACCUCUAAAUGUCUCAAAUGAACAAAUCAUCGGAUCGGAGCAUCGGACACUGUGCAGCAUAUCGAAAGUGGCAAUACAAAGAGCAUACACCUAUCGGAACGGACCUGCAAAAGCGUCACACAGCAGCAAAGCGGUGCAUAUUUGUGCGAUUAUAACGACAGUUAGAACCGAAACCGAAUCCUCUAGCCCAUACGCCGCGUAAACGAAGUACAUCCUCAUUAUGCUUCGUUGUGACAAUGACGUGAUGACGUCCUCGUUUCUUCACAUUGCGCCCGUGCGCGGUCGCUCCACGCUGAAUGCUGAAGCAGCCCGGUGUAUGAUUGAACGUCCACCGGUUCUGCACGAGCUCGAGAACGGGCCUGUACACACACAACACACACAUUUGCAUGCCGACUGUCGAUCGAGAGCAUCCUGUGUGUGUGUGUGUGUGUGAGUUGAAACAAUUUUGGUAACGGUCGUCAUAUGCCAAUUUUUAUGCGAUCGUACACCACAUUACAAGCAUUUUCCAUUAAGCCAUGUUUCACUAAUAAAAUAAUUAAUUUUAUAAACUACA